rnacentral:lncRNA from 1 species
GAUCAAACCAAGAUGUGAAGCUCUGUGGUCAGGUGAGCUCUGAGAAAGAACAACAGUCACUGCUUUCCAUAGCCAGUGUGUUGCGGGCGCCACACCUCCACAGGGAAGAUGACAACCUGAGGUGGCCUUGUCAGAGUCCCUCACAGGCCCCCCCCUUCCUGGACUAUGGACACAGGAAAUGGUUCCAAGAGCAGAGAAGUGUUAUGUAGCCCCUGUGGGCUCAGUGUUCAAGACUACACAAAAGCUAGGGUCUAGAUGAAAGUUCUGUUCAAAACCUGUGUACUAUCUGAUUCUUUUAAAAUUAGUGAUAGAACUCAAAAGUGCUGAAAGAGAGCCACAGAGCAGCUACUCCUGUAGGAGAAAGGAACCCUGGCGAUGCUCACCCAGAAACUGACACACGUUGUUCACAUUGCAGGCAGUCAAGCAGUAAUGUUAACCACAGUUAACAGUGACCAGCGGUGACCAUACUGAGGCCUAGAGGCAAGAAGACCUUUGUUUUCCUUCUCCAGACAGCUGAGGCUGGUGAUCCCCCAGGAACACUUCCUUUGUGAUCUUUGUAGUAAAUAAGACUGUAAACCAGCGUCCAAGCUGAUUGAAGGUGGGUUUAAAGGGAAAGAGAAAAUGGUGGCCGUCUGAUGAUUAAACAAAAGCUUAUGGCUGAACAUUUCGGUCACUAUCAUUUAAUGUUUUAAGGCACUACCCGUAGGGAACGUGCCAACUGUGGGCAGGUGGGGAAAAAAAAAAAGAAGAAAAAGAACCCGUUCACCUUGUGGCACACACGGAGGAAACCAGUGCUGCCACUUGAAAUCUCAAGGGUGAGCUCAGCUCCCGAGCCUCGGAGGAGCCCUCCACUUCUCUCCCUGCCUCCCAGGAAUUGAUUCUACAAUGUUAAACACGUAAUUUGUAAAGCUAUUGAGAAGUAAACUCCUUGUCCACAGUCACUGGAGGAGUUGCCAAAGGCAGAUAAAUCUUCAACCCAGGAGUAGGUAACCCCAUGCAGCUCAGAAAACAAAUGCCGCCCUGGCUGCAGGCAGCCCUGUUGUUCCCCUUCCCUUGGGGCUUCUGUGUGUGUGUGUGGGGGGGGGGAAUUAACACUUUAAAAAUUCAGCAUUUCCUUAAUAAACAGUGUGACUUAGUGGAGAUGCUGAUGGUCCUGGGUUAGCAUCCCUGAGAACGGAGAAAUUAUUUUGGGCUGAGCAAGUGCUUAAUGAGAAUAGAGGCUGUGUGGCUCAGAGUUGGUCAUAUAUUAUCCUCUGUACUUUCUUCCCAAAAUAGACUUAAUGGAAAGAGGAUGCAUAAUAUCCCCCUUCUCUAAGGAAGCGCCCCCCACUCCCCCCCACCACCACAGUCUUUCUAAAAACAGCUUUAUGGGCCUUCAGUCAAUAAUAGCUCUGUUUCAGCCCCUCUCACAUCUUACUUCCGCCAUGUAGGAACUCGUGUAGUGACAGGCAUAUCCACCUCCGGGUGCACAGAGCUGGACAACGCCCAGGGUCUGCAGCUCGCAGCCUCCUGCAAAGGUCUAUCGGAUGCCACAUGCCACGAUUCUCACCUGAACACUUUAUAGUGGUUUGCAUUUAACCUCCCUUCACUCCACAAGGAUGAAGAGGGAAGAACUGCGAGUUAGCCUAGGAUUGACCUCCUUUCAGGGAGCAAUCACUCAAUGCCCUACUGAGUCUGAAGCUCAGACACAAAAAGGCAGAUAAGGACAGUGUUCAGAGAGUGGAGUGACAUAGGCACAGAGUGGGGACUCUGGCGUCCAGACUGCUUCAACUCAGUCUCAGCCAUGUAGUUGAGAUUGGGGUAGGGUGUCUUUCCCAAGGACCUGGAGAUGAAAUGUUCUAGGGGUCCUGUGUGUGUUUCCCUCCGUGUAGCUCGGCAACCAGUAGGGCAUUUCCUCCUCCUGCUCAGGUCUAACAGCAUCCUGAAGGCAUCCAGUCCCAGCAAUGACUUGUGAAGGAAUGUUUUGCAACUUUGCAGACACAUUCUAAGUACAAGGUAAAAACCGCUGGUAGUUAGACUCGAAGGCAAGGUGCCAAAGGCUUAUCACUUAGAACACAGCGUGGUUAUAUCAGGAACUGCAGGAAAAUGUACCUUUGUGCAGCAGCAUAAUUAAUUAAAAGAGUUAAAACUUUUCUUC